GGAGAGGUGGCCGAGCGGCUGAAGGCACUCGCCUGCUAAGCGAGUAGGGGUCGCAAGAUCUCUCGCGGGUUCGAAUCCCGCCCUCUCCG
rnacentral:tRNA from 1 species